rnacentral:lncRNA from 1 species
AAACUUUACUGCACAUGGUGUCUGGUUUGCUGGAACUCUAAGCACAGUGCCUUUGGAGGACUUGGGGUAGGGAACUUGACUUGAGGUGUUUGUGGCAACUUAGAAACUAUCUGGAGUGAAAGCACCAAGAGGACUUAAUGGCUCCUCUCCUGCUUCAGACCACAGCAUCUUCCAGUGACCUCCAAGUCCUUAAACCUGGCUGCCUCUCAAGACCCUGCCUGUCAGGUGAUGAGCUAAAUGUUUCUCC